ensembl:lncRNA
UAUUUCAUUGAAGAUCCCUGUAUACUUGAGGCCUUCUAAAGAACAAUCCCCUCAGAUCCAGAAGCCAUUUGUGAAGAUUUCUGGAGUCGGUGUCUGCCACAGAGAUUUCUCUGGAGUCUUAAGGACUACUCCAAAGAUCAGAGAUGUGUAUCACGGUAGUCCAUGUGAGUUUUUCCAUUAUCCUGUUUUGGAGUGUGAUUCUUGACUGGCUUAAGUUUACCCACGAGAUAUAGGCAUGGAUUCAGUGAAGCUGUGAGACCUGAUUACACGUUCACCUGGGCAAGAGAGAGGAGCAGAGGCUGUCUGUCCAGAGUCCUUCAGCAGGGCAGCUGAGCCAAGCAACUGGCACUCAUUUACACACAUAGCGUGAUUAUCUCUCCCAAGGAUGAACAGUUAAGCAAAUGUUGAAUCAGUUUCCAAAUUACUGUUCUUUUUUCUAUUUCUAAAGCACAGCAUUUUUCAACAAUGAUACCGUAGUGAAAUGUCAGUCUUGUCCUGAGAUAUUUUCUUAAUAAAAUAGGAACAGAGAUAAAAGACACAAGAGUAUUAUAGAGAAAAGAAAGAGAGAAGUGGCUGAGGGGUUACACUGUUAUACAAGUGACAAGAAAUCAUAUCAAAACUCUUUAAUUAGCCCUUUUUCCCUUUCACAGCCCAAAAUAAUUAUUUGAUAUUAACUAUUUUCAUUGUUUCCUGCUAGAUUGAGUGCACUUAUGAAAUAUAUUUACAGUAAAACAAGCUCUGAAGAAGCAAUGGCUUUAGCAUUACUAGGAGAAUACAUUCUGUAUCCAUGAGAACUUGAAAUUUGCCAGUAUUUCACUUUCACUUAAAAAAAAAAAAAAAGACACUUUAGCUGUUUAUAAGCUAUCAUAUUUCUAUGUGUUUGGAACAAAUAUAAGGGUUUCUUAUUUGUUUACUUCCAAAAUUUACUACGCAUGUUGCACACUACAAAAAAGAAAUCAUACAAAAAAGAAAGAAAUAUUUUAAUGCUGUUUAAGUGGAAGGCUUUGAAAUAAAUAUAACAGCUUGUAUGUUAUUUUCUUCAGGAAAAAAAUCAAAAUGGUCAACUUUAUGUCGAUUGUGAACUAAUCCAGGUCUUGAAACCAAAAUAAUUAAAUGUGGCGUUCCUAUCCUUCACAAUGGAUUUGUCAUGAGUUUCUACUUGAUUCUGCUUUUGUUGCUGCUGACCACAGAGAGAUACACUGACCUGCACUUAAUCCCCUCUAGCAAACUAUUCCACUGCAGUGUUUUUAUCUUUAUCUUGGUAAAUUUAAGUUCCUUCUCGUUACCGUUCAGUUAUUCUUUUGGCUGAGCAUUACAUAAAAAUUUAGAGAAC